UGCAUCGAUGAAGAACGUAGCAAACUGCGAUACUUGGUGUGAAUUGCAGAAUCCCGUGAACCAUCGAGUCUUUGAACGCAAGUUGCGCCCGAAGCCAUUAGGCCGAGGGCACGUCUGCCUGGGCGUCACGC
rnacentral:rRNA from 2 species